GACGAGCCGUGCGAACGUUAUUCGGAAUCACUGGGCUUAAAGCGCGUGUAGGCGGGACGGCACGUCUGUCGCUGAAAUCCCCCGGCUUAACCGGGGAACUGGCGGAGAUACGACCGUCCUGGAGGGGCGUAGGGGGACCUGGAACUUCCGGUGGAGCGGUGAAAUGCGUUGAGAUCGGAAGGAACGCCCGUGGCGAAAGCGAGGUCCUGGACGCCUACUGACGCUGAGACGCGAAAGCCAGGGGAGCGAACGGG
rnacentral:rRNA from 1 species